UGUAAGCGUAUACCAAAGUUGUUGCAGUUAAAACGCUCGUAGUCGGAAUUUGGCAGUUCCGGAAGUGUGCACGUCGUGUGCGCACUUUGCGGGGACUGCUUUUGUGGUCUUGCGUAGGAUGAGGCACUUUCAUUAGUGAACGUCCUCACGCAACCACUCUUUACUGUGAGAAAAUCAGAGUGCUCAAAGCAGGCAUUUGCCGUGAAUGUAUUAGCAUGGAAUAAUAGAAUAGGACUCGGUUCUAUUUUGUUGGUUUGUUGGGACUGAGUAAUGAUUAAGAGGGACAGUUGGGGGCAGUUGUAUUCCGGCGCUAGAGGUGAAAUUCUUAGAUUGCCGGAAGACAAACUGCUGCGAAAGCGUCUGCCAAGGAUGUUUUCAUUGA
rnacentral:rRNA from 1 species